GUGCCCAGACCGGACGGGGAAGCGCCUGCAGCGUCCAUGGAGCGCGUCCAGUGCCAGCGCUGCCCCAGGGGCCACGGUCUGCAGGGACAGCCCCUUCCAGAAGGACGAGGACCUGGUUUGGGAUCGGCUCCUCUCCUGGCAGCAGCUCUCCAGAGGCUGCCAGCACCUCAUGCCAUGGGAACGGCACCGCUCGGCCUGCCCGCCUGGGAGGGCUGGAGGGCAGCCAGUGUUCAUUUGCUGUCAAAAUAAAUUUGUUUGGGUUUUUUUUGUCAUCGUCA